AUGUAUGCUUGAAAGCUGUUCUCAUC
rnacentral:rRNA from 1 species